AACGGCCAUACCAUGCUGAAUAUACCGGUUCCCGUUAGAUCACGGAGGUCAAGCAUCAUUGGGCGCAGUCAGUACUUGGGUGGGUGACCACCUGGGAACACCGC
rnacentral:rRNA from 1 species